rnacentral:rRNA from 1 species
AACGAACGCUGGCGGCAUGCCUAACACAUGCAAGUCGAACGACAUCCUUCGGGGUCUAGUCGCGCACGGGUGCGGAGCGCGUGGGAAUCUGCCCUUAGGUCCGGAAUAACAGUUAGAAAUGACUGCUCAUACCGGAUGAUACCGUUAAGUCCAAAGAUUCAUCGCCUGAGGAUGAGCCCGCGUAGGAUUAGUUAGUUGGUGUGGUAAAGGAGCACCAAGGCGACGAUCCUUAGCUGGGCUGAGAGGCAGGGCAGCCACCCUGGGGGUGAGAGACGGCGCGGACUCCUACGGGAGGCAGGAAUGGGGAAUAUUGGACAACCGGGUGAGUCCUGAACCAGCAAUGCCUCGUGAGUGAUGAAGGCCUUAGAGUUGUAAAGCUCUUUUACCCGAGAUGAUAAUGACGGUAUCGGGAGAAUAAGCCCCGGCUAACUCCGUG